CAACUUGGCCACAUAACUCCUUUUUUUUUAAAUGAUGCUAGUGUCAGCCUAGUUUGUGCGCACCUCGACUAUUUCACCGGAACCUGCUACAGUCCACCAACACAGGUAUCGGUACCAGGUAACUCUGCCCACCAAGACUUAGGCAGAUGAGAAGAAAUUACCUAGUGUUUUUUUUUACUUCGCGGGGAAAGAUCUCAUGGUUCUCCUCCCACUUCAUUGACAACUAAGCUGCAGUCUUGGGUGCAAGGAACUCCUCUAUCAAAUUUUCUCAGAAACUCUUAAGUCACUUUUCGGCCAAUAAUAUUCUGGAACCUUUUACAGCAAAAUGACAUUUUGGUAACUUGUUUGGUUU
rnacentral:lncRNA from 1 species